rnacentral:rRNA from 1 species
AUUGAACGCUGGCGGCAGGCCUAACACAUGCAAGUCGAACGGUAACAGGAAACAGCUUGCUGUUUCGCUGACGAGUGGCGGACGGGUGAGUAAUGUCUGGGAAACUGCCUGAUGGAGGGGGAUAACUACUGGAAACGGUAGCUAAUACCGCAUAACGUCGCAAGACCAAAGAGGGGGACCUUCGGGCCUCUUGCCAUCGGAUGUGCCCAGAUGGGAUUAGCUAGUAGGUGGGGUAACGGCUCACCUAGGCGACGAUCCCUAGCUGGUCUGAGAGGAUGACCAGCCACACUGGAUCUGAGACACGGUCCAGACUCCUACGGGAGGCAGCAGUGGGGAAUAUUGCACAAUGGGCGCAAGCCUGAUGCAGCCAUGCCGCGUGUAUGAAGAAGGCCUUCGGGUUGUAAAGUACUUUCAGCGGGGAUGAAGGGAGUAAAGUUAAUACCUUUGCUCAUUGACGUUACCCGCAGAAGAAGCACCGGCUAACUCCGUG